rnacentral:rRNA from 1 species
UACGAAGGGGGCGAGCGUUGUUCGGAAUUACUGGGCGUAAAGGGCGCGUAGGCGGUCCCUCAAGUCAGGCGUGAAAGCCCCGGGCUCAACCUGGGAACCGCGCUUGAGACUGGUGGGCUAGAGUUCGGGAGAGGAUGGUGGAAUUCCAGGUGUAGCGGUGAAAUGCGUAGAUAUCUGGAGGAACACCGGUGGCGAAGGCGGCAUCCUGGACCGGCAUGUACGCUGAGGCGCGAAAGCCAGGGGAGCAAACGGG